UACGUAGGGUGCGAGCGUUGUCCGGAAUUACUGGGCGUAAAGCGUGCGCAGGCGGUUUUGUAAGCCAGAUGUGAAAUCCCCGGGCUUAACCUGGGAAUGGCAUUUGGGACUGCAAGGCUCGAGUGCGGCAGAGGAGACUGGAAUUCCUGGUGUAGCAGUGAAAUGCGUAGAUAUCAGGAGGAACACCGAUGGCGAAGGCAGGUCUCUGGGCUGACACUGACGCUCAUGCACGAAAGCGUGGGGAGCAAACAGG
rnacentral:rRNA from 1 species